rnacentral:lncRNA from 1 species
ACAGGAAGAGUCAUGGUUACAGAGCAUUGCUUCCAGAACCAAAGAAUUCAUCAUACAUGCUUGAAAAGAAAACAAGAGAGGGAGGCAAAAGCUGGAUGACACAGGCACCAAUAAUCAGAGAAGAUAAUGAAAGACAUCCAGGAAUCACUCAUAUUCUAAGGUCAUGGUCUUCAUGAAAGAUAUCCAAAACUUGAUCUUCACUGAAAAACAAGACUGAAGGCAAGCAGAAGGUUGUUUUGGCAAAGCAUACUGAACUGAUAAAGAACUAAUUAGUGUAUUUGAGUUCAGGCCUUGGGACAUUUUGUCCAAAUGCUUUCUUUUUAAUUCAUAAUUUAAAAUGUACCUCUCUCUUUUACUUUGAAACGCAUGCUUCCUUUGGAGUAAAUUCUGAUGGUAUAUAAAGGAGUGAGUUAUAUCUAAAUGAUUUAAAUGUGUUCACCAUGAAUUGCCAGUAACUGUUUUACUCUCCUGACAUUAUAAAAUCUGUCAAAUAUAAUUCAGGAAGAUGUCAAGCAUUAAACAGAGAUAUGACAGCUUUAACCUGGGUUGACUUCAAAAGUACCUUACUAUCCCUCCCUUGCUUGAGAGUUUUUGUAACAUAAAUCAAAGCACAGCACUUAUAAAAUACAUUUGUCUCAUUUACCUGAGCUCUGUCACAUCUUUGAAGGUGUUUCAGGCAUUUAUUUACUCAGAUUCAACAAGGAGCUGAGAUGGUGAGGAUGGCACAAUCAGAAUGUAAGGGAUGCCUUCAAAGUCCAAACUGAUGAGAGAUGCUGUUAUAAAGAAACGACAUAACCACAGAUAAGUGUAGACUUCACUCCUAUUAAGGAAACUCACUAUUUGCGACGCAGAGAAAGCAUUUUAGAAAACCACAAGCAAUAGGAAUGCAGCGCUGUGGAGCCCAGUCCCAAUGGAUAUAUUUACAACUCUUGCUGCUAAGACUCCAGGAAUAUUGAUGAAGGAGGUAGGGGAUACUGAUUGUAAAAAUCAGAGAGGUUCAAAAAUUUUUUGUAUGUGUUUCUGAGACUGUCCUUGUAAGUGGAGAAGUCACACUCAUAAAGUCUCAUCAACAUGGCUGCCUACACAUGAACUGAUCAAGAACAACAGAAAUGCAUGUGCUAAAGUACGUGGGGGAAGAACAAGAGGCCUCAACGCUAUACAAAAAUAUUAUAGGCAACUAAAGAACUGGCAGAGUGGGAGAAAUAAUCUUCCCCGGAGAAGAACACACCACUUGGUUAUCCACUACAAAACGGUCAGCCCUGAGAACAUGCAAUCAAGCAACAAUAUACAAACUGAGAAGAUCAUAUAUUGGGAAUAUAUAUACACGUGUGUGUAUGUAUGUGUGUGUGUGCGUGUGUGUGUGUGUGUGUGUGUAUGUGCAUGUGUGUGUGUAUAUGUGUG